CUCCCUUUUAACUUAUUUUCUGAGUUCUGCUAGCUAAUACGAGUAAAAUGGCCUUUUAUUUUUGAAAAUUGGUUGAGUAAUGAAUAUUUUAUGAAGGUUAGCAGUUGACACUGAAACGCGACAAAAACUGAUUUUAAAGAAAGGUGCCAAGUCAAAGUGUAAAUCUUGUCUCUACCUCAAUUUUUAGCCAAAUCUUAAAAACUGUACCUCUUUUGUCAGUUUUUUAAUGUUGAAUAUCUUAAUAAGAUCUCUGAUGAUGCAACAUUGUAUAAAAUUUAGCAAUUUCAAGCAUAAAAAUGUUAAUCUUUAUGCUUAUUGCAUACCAAAGACUUGAUUAAAA
rnacentral:lncRNA from 1 species